GACGUAGGGCGCGAGCGUUGUCCGGAUUUAUUGGGCGUAAAGAGCUCGUAGGCGGCUUGUCGCGUCGUCCGUGAAAACUUGGGGCUCAACCCCAAGCUUGCGGUCGAUACGGGCAGGCUAGAGUUCGGUAGGGGAGACUGGAAUUCCUGGUGUAGCGGUGAAAUGCGCAGAUAUCAGGAGGAACACCGGUGGCGAAGGCGGUUCUCUGGGCCUUACCUGACGCUGAGGAGCGAAAGCGUGGGGAGCGAACAGG
rnacentral:rRNA from 1 species